rnacentral:rRNA from 1 species
UGUUCAGGGGUAAACCUGUGGUUCCCGAAAGUUCGAACGGGGAGAUUCAAUUGCCUCGCCGGUUAUGACCAUUUAACAGUGAUGUUUAUAUAUGAGACAUUAUAUGCGGUUGCGGUUUAUUCUGUAGCUGUUAUAUGGUGCUCCGCUGUUUUAUGUAUAUUGUUUAUAGCCGGAGGCGUGCACUUCUCCCCUUGUAGGACGUCGUGACCCAUUGGAUAAUUAAAAUGUUGUCUAAGGCUCGUGAUGGAGACCGUGGCAUUAAGUUUCGGCUUUAAUGACCCGGACUUGCGAUGUCCCGACAUCUAUCCGAUGGUAGUAUUAUGAUGAUGGGUCGCUAUAAAUGCGGAGCGUUCAGAUCCAUAACAAAUGCUUAUAUGGUAUAUAGUGGAAAUCGGAUUUAAUGCCGGUUCUGCACGUAUGGUAUUGUUAGUUGUGGUACUCUCGAACCGUCCCUUUUCAUCAGUCAACGGCGUUUAUGUUUUGGGUAAUUACAGGACCCGUCUUGAAACACGGACCAAGGAGUCUAGCAUGUGCGCGAGUCAUUGGGACUUUUGAAACCUAAAGGCGCAAUGAAAGUGAAGUAUUUGUGAAUUUUCGUAAUUCACUUGUUUAAGGGAAGAUGGGUAACGUUAUUUAUGUUACCUCGCAUUCCCGGGGCGUCGCGUACUUAUUGCAAGUUGCGGCGCACCAAGAGCGUACACGCUGGGACCCGAAAGAUGGUGAACUAUGCCUGGUCAGGAUGAAGUCAGGGGAAACCCUGAUGGAGGUCCGUAGCGAUUCUGACGUGCAAAUCGAUCGUAUGAACUGGGUAUAGGGGCGAAAGACUAAUCGAACCAUC